rnacentral:rRNA from 1 species
AAUUGAAGAGUUUGAUCAUGGCUCAGAUUGAACGCUGGCGGCAGGCCUAACACAUGCAAGUCGAACGGUAACAGGAAGCAGCUUGCUGCUUUGCUGACGAGUGGCGGACGGGUGAGUAAUGUCUGGGAAACUGCCUGAUGGAGGGGGAUAACUACUGGAAACGGUGGCUAAUACCGCAUAACGUCGCAAGACCAAAGAGGGGGACCUUCGGGCCUCUUGCCAUCAGAUGUGCCCAGAUGGGAUUAGCUAGUUGGUGAGGUAACGGCUCACCAAGGCGACGAUCCCUAGCUGGUCUGAGAGGAUGACCAGCCACACUGGAACUGAGACACGGUCCAGACUCCUACGGGAGGCAGCAGUGGGGAAUAUUGCACAAUGGGCGCAAGCCUGAUGCAGCCAUGCCGCGUGUAUGAAGAAGGCCUUCGGGUUGUAAAGUACUUUCAGCGGGGAGGAAGGUGUUGUGGUUAAUAACCGCAGCAAUUGACGUUACCCGCAGAAGAAGCACCGGCUAACUCCGUGCCAGCAGCCGCGGUAAUACGGAGGGUGCAAGCGUUAAUCGGAAUUACUGGGCGUAAAGCGCACGCAGGCGGUCUGUCAAGUCGGAUGUGAAAUCCCCGGGCUCAACCUGGGAACUGCAUUCGAAACUGGCAGGCUUGAGUCUUGUAGAGGGGGGUAGAAUUCCAGGUGUAGCGGUGAAAUGCGUAGAGAUCUGGAGGAAUACCGGUGGCGAAGGCGGCCCCCUGGACAAAGACUGACGCUCAGGUGCGAAAGCGUGGGGAGCAAACAGGAUUAGAUACCCUGGUAGUCCACGCCGUAAACGAUGUCUACUUGGAGGUUGUGCCCUUGAGGCGUGGCUUCCGGAGCUAACGCGUUAAGUAGACCGCCUGGGGAGUACGGCCGCAAGGUUAAAACUCAAAUGAAUUGACGGGGGCCCGCACAAGCGGUGGAGCAUGUGGUUUAAUUCGAUGCAACGCGAAGAACCUUACCUGGUCUUGACAUCCACAGAAGAAUCCAGAGAUGGAUUUGUGCCUUCGGGAACUGUGAGACAGGUGCUGCAUGGCUGUCGUCAGCUCGUGUUGUGAAAUGUUGGGUUAAGUCCCGCAACGAGCGCAACCCUUAUCCUUUGUUGCCAGCGGUCCGGCCGGGAACUCAAAGGAGACUGCCAGUGAUAAACUGGAGGAAGGUGGGGAUGACGUCAAGUCAUCAUGGCCCUUACGACCAGGGCUACACACGUGCUACAAUGGCGCAUACAAAGAGAAGCGACCUCGCGAGAGCAAGCGGACCUCAUAAAGUGCGUCGUAGUCCGGAUUGGAGUCUGCAACUCGACUCCAUGAAGUCGGAAUCGCUAGUAAUCGUGGAUCAGAAUGCCACGGUGAAUACGUUCCCGGGCCUUGUACACACCGCCCGUCACACCAUGGGAGUGGGUUGCAAAAGAAGUAGGUAGCUUAACCUUCGGGAGGGCGCUUACCACUUUGUGAUUCAUGACUGGGGUGAAGUCGUAACAAGGUAACCGUAGGGGAACCUGC